GACGAACGCUGGCGGCGUGCCUAAUACAUGCAAGUCGAACGCAGUGGGGACGGGUGAGUAACACGUGGGUAACCUCCCAUCAGAGGGGAUAACACUUGGAAACAGGUGCUAAACCGAUACUGAUGGAUGGACCCGCGGUGCAUUAGCUAGUUGGUGAGGUACCGGCUCCCCAAGGCCACGAUGCAUAGCGGACCUGGGAGGUUGAUCGGCAACACUGGGACUGAGACACGGCCCAGCCUCUUACGGGAGGCAGCAGGAGGGAAUCUUCGGCAAUGGCGGAAAGCCGGACCAGGAAACGCCGGGUGAGGGAAGAAGGUUUUCGGAUCGUAAAACUCUGUUGUUAGAGAGGCGGUAUCUAACCAGAAAGCCACGGCUAACUACGUGCCAGCAGCCGCGGUAAUUC
rnacentral:rRNA from 1 species